GAUCAUGGCUCAGGAUGAACGCUGGCGGCGUGCUUAACACAUGCAAGUCGAACGGAGUUUAGAUGAAAGCUUGCCUUUGACUAAACUUAGUGGCGGACGGGUGAGUAACGCGUGGGUAACCUGCCUUAUACAGGGGGAUAACAGUCGGAAACGACUGCUAAUACCGCAUAAGCGCACGGAAUCGCAUGAUUCAGUGUGAAAAGAUUUAUCGGUAUAAGAUGGACCCGCGUCUGAUUAGCUAGUUGGUGAGGUAACGGCCCACCAAGGCGACGAUCAGUAGCCGGCCUGAGAGGGUGAACGGCCACAUUGGGACUGAGACACGGCCCAAACUCCUACGGGAGGCAGCAGUGGGGAAUAUUGCACAAUGGGGGAAACCCUGAUGCAGCGACGCCGCGUGAGUGAAGAAGUAUUUCGGUAUGUAAAGCUCUAUCAGCAGGGAAGAAAAUGACGGUACCUGACUAAGAAGCCCCGGCUAACUACGUGCCAGCCGCCGC
rnacentral:rRNA from 1 species